rfam:Glossina pallidipes unplaced genomic scaffold Scaffold452, whole genome shotgun sequence.
AGAUCCCACCAUCGGAAGUGUGGGAAUGACAACCAGCCUCCGCGAAGUAAUACCUAACGGUGGUCCCGCGGGGGAGAGUGGUAGAAGAAGUGUGUGGGGGGUAGUUUUUAGUACAUAAGCGCCAUGGAUGGCGAAUCGUGCAUCCUGCUACUAGGAAACAGCAGUAUCUUUUGAAGAAUUUCUACCCCCUGCUAGC